GUCUCACUCUGUCACCCAGGCUGGAGUGGCGUGAUCUCAAUAUUGGCUCACAGCAGCCUCGACCUCCCAGGCUCAAGCGAUUCUCCUGCCUCAGCCCCCCAAGAAGCUUGGACUACAGGUCGCGCUAUUUCUAUCACAUCUGCCGUUCCUUCCUCCACCAAAGUCCUGAAUCCCUCAAAGUCAUCUAUAAGGAAGAAGAAUCAGCUUCUUCCAAACUCCUGCUAAUGUUGAUAUUUUGACCUCCUCCAAUGACUCAUAAGCGUUUUUAAUGGCAU
rnacentral:lncRNA from 1 species